CGAAAGCCUGACGGAGCAACGCCGCGUGAGGGAUGAAGGCCUCUGGGCUGUAAACCUCUUUUCUCAAGGAAGAAGACCUGACGGUACUUGAGGAAUAAGCCACGGCUAAUUCCGUGCCAGCAGCCGCGGUAAUACGGGAGUGGCAAGCGUUAUCCGGAAUUAUUGGGCGUAAAGCGUCCGCAGGCGGCCGUACAAGUCUGUCGUUAAAGCGUGGAGCUUAACUCCAUUUAGGCGAUGGAAACUGUAAGGCUUGAGUGUGGUAGGGGCAGAGGGAAUUCCCGGUGUAGCGGUGAAAUGCGUAGAUAUCGGGAAGAACACCAGUGGCGAAGGCGCUCUGCUGGGUCAUAACUGACGCUCAUGGACGAAAGCCAGGGGAGCG
rnacentral:rRNA from 1 species